rnacentral:rRNA from 1 species
UACGUAGGGUGCGAGCGUUAAUCGGAAUUACUGGGCGUAAAGCGUGCGCAGGCGGUUCGUUGUAUCUGAUGUGAAAGCCCCGGGCUCAACCUGGGAAUGGCAUUGGAAACUGGCGAGCUAGAGUGUGGCAGAGGGGGGUGGAAUUCCUGGUGUAGCGGUGAAAUGCGCAGAUAUCAGGAGGAACACCGGUGGCGAAGGCGGGUCUCUGGGCCGAUACUGACGCUGAGGAGCGAAAGCGUGGGGAGCGAACAGG